UAUGUGAUGUCUCUCGCAUAUCAAUAAGCGGAGGAAAAGAAACUAACAAGGAUUCCCCUAGUAACGGCGAGUGAAGCGGGAAGAGCUCAAAUUUGAAAUCUUAAAGGGUUUCCCUUUACGAAUUGUAGUUUAAAGAAGUGUUUUCUGUUGAGGUUUUGGUAAAAGUUCUUUGGAAUAGGACAUCAUAGAGGGUGAGAAUCCCGUAUUCGACCUUUACUUUCAACUUUGUGAUACACAUUCAAAGAGUCGGAUUGUUUGGGAAUGCAGUCCAAAAUGGGUGGUAAAUUUCAUCUAAAGCUAAAUAUUGGCGAGAGACCGAUAGCGAACAAGUACCGUGAGGGAAAGAUGAAAAGAACUUUGAAAAGAGAGUUAAACAGUACGUGAAAUUGUCAAAAGGGAAGCGUUUGACACCAGUGUUGUUUUUCUGAAAAUCAAUUAAAGAACUGUUUAUGCUAAGUUGUUUAGACUUUAUCAGCUAUCUGUUUAGUUUUGAGCUUUUCUUUAAUGCACUUUUCAGUUAACAAGUCAACAUCAAUUUCUUUUGCUGUAAAAAAGCUUGAGGAAGGUGGCUUGAGAUUCGUCUUAAGUGUUUAUAGCCUCUUGCCUAUGCAGUCGGAGAGAUUGAGGUCUGCAGCGUAGAUCCUUCGGGGCUAAAUGCAUUUGUGCUAAGUUAUAGCAUUUUAUAGACAACUUGUUGACUAUGAUUUGUCUUGUAGCUUACUCGCUUAUGUUAUUUUACCUACGCUUAGGAUGUUGACACACGCGCGUGCUCG
rnacentral:rRNA from 1 species